CCCUUAGAUGUUCUGGGCCGCACGCGUGCUACACUGAGUGGAUCAGCGGGUCAGGUUGCGCGAAAGCGUUUCCUAAUCUUUAAAUCCGCUCGUGAUGGGGAUUGACGGUUGCAAUUUUCUGUCAUGAACGAGGAAUACCUUGUAAGCGCGGGUCAUCAUCCCGCGCUGAAUGCGUCCCUGCCCUUUGUACACACCGCCCGUCGCUCCUACCGAUGAGUCGUCCGGUGAAGUUCGUAGACCUCGUGAUCGCGGAUCACUGGGGGAAGCAAAAUGAACCUCGCGGUUUAGAGGAAGGAGAAGUCGUAACA
rnacentral:rRNA from 1 species